rnacentral:rRNA from 1 species
AGAAUCAACGCUGGCGGCGUGCCUCAGACAUGCAAGUCGAACGAUUAAAGCUCUCUUCGGAGAGUGUAUAGAGUGGCGCACGGGUGAGUAACACGUAAGUAAUCUACCUUCGAGUGGGGAAUAACCCGGGGAAACCCGAGCUAAUACCGCAUAAUGCAGCGGCACCUAAUGGUGACAGUUGUUAAAGAUUUAUCGCUUGAAGAGGAGCUUGCGGCAGAUUAGCUAGUUGGUAAGGUAAUGGCUUACCAAGGCUACGAUCUGUAACCGGCCUGAGAGGGCGGUCGGUCACACUGACACUGACAUACGGGUCAGACUCCUACGGGAGGCAGCAGUCGGGAAUUUUGGGCAAUGGGCGAAAGCCUGACCAGCAACGCCGCGUGAAGGAUGAAAUCCUCGGAUGUAAACUUCGCAAGAACGGAAGAAUAAGUAGGGACAAUACCCCAUGAUGACGUACCGUUGUAAGCUCCGCUAACUCGUGCCAGCAGUCGCGGUA